rnacentral:rRNA from 1 species
ACUCAAAUGAAUUGACGGGGGCCCGCACAAGCGGUGGAGCAUGUGGUUUAAUUCGACGCAACGCGAAGAACCUUACCUGGGUUUGAACUUCAGUGGACAGCUCUUGAAAGAGAGUCUCCCUUCGGGGCUGCUGGAGAGGUGCUGCAUGGCUGUCGUCAGCUCGUGUCGUGAGAUGUUGGGUUAAGUCCCGUAACGAGCGCAACCCUUACCCUUAGUUGCCAGCGGGUCAUGCCGGGAACUCUAAGGGAACCGCCGGUGAUAAACCGGAGGAAGGUGGGGAUGACGUCAAGUCCUCAUGGCCUUUAUGCCCAGGGCCACACACGUGCUACAAUGGACGGUACAAAGGGUUGCCAAGCCGCGAGGCGGAGCUAAUCCCAAAAAGCCGUUCUCAGUUCGGAUUGGGGGCUGCAACUCGCCCCCAUGAAGGUGGAAUCGCUAGUAAUCACGGAUCAGCACGCCGUGGUGAAUACGUUCCCGGGCCUUGUACACACCGCCCGU